AUUGAACGCUGGCGGCAUGCCUUACACAUGCAAGUCGAACGGUAACGGGCCUUCGGGUGCCGACGAGUGGCGCACGGGUGAGUAAUACAUCGGAACGUGCCCGAUCGUGGGGGAUAACGAGGCGAAAGCUUUGCUAAUACCGCAUACGAUCUACGGAUGAAAGCAGGGGACCGCAAGGCCUUGCGCGGACGGAGCGGCCGAUGGCAGAUUGGGUAGUUGGUGGGAUAAAAGCUUACCAAGCCGACGAUCUGUAGCUGGUCUGAGAGGAUGAUCAGCCACACUGGGACUGAGACACGGCCCAGACUCCUACGGGAGGCAGCAGUGGGGAAUUUUGGACAAUGGGCGCAAGCCUGAUCCAGCCAUGCCGCGUGCAGGAUGAGGGCCUUCGGGUUGUAAACUGCUUUUGUACGGAACGAAAAGCCUUCUUUUAAUACAGGAGGGUCAUGACGGUACCGUAAGAAUAAGCACCGGCUAACUACGUG
rnacentral:rRNA from 1 species